UUACUCAAAAUUUUAAUUUUUCAAAACUCCCAUAAAAUUUCAUUUCCCACACUUACACAAAAUUUUAAUUUUUCAAAACCCUAUUCUCCUUCCAUCCUCCAAAAUUUUCUAAAAGCCUUUGAAACCCUAUUAUUCCGCAAAACUCCACCACCGUUGUGUGAUGCUGGUUCCAGACGCUGCAGUGCACCCUUCCAAAUACUGCACAAAGCUCAUAUCUCAACCUUAUUCCCAAGCCAAAACCUCUAAACUGCGUUCCCAAAUCAAAGCUCUGAACCUUGUUCCCAAAUCCAAAAGCAAAAUCCUAUAGCUAAUUAGUUUCCAAAUCCAAUGUAUAAACCUCGUUGCGAAAUCGAAACCCAAAUCCCAAAAUCGAAAUCUGAGAGCGAA
rnacentral:lncRNA from 1 species